GCUAAAGCUUUCUUUUGUUAAAUAAGGAAUUAUUUAUCAAAUUAAUCACUAGUAUAUAUAUAUGAUGAACUUAUGGAUGUAGAUUUAAAUCUAAGAAAAAAAUGGCCAAAUUCAUCUACUGUAUCAUUCUACUCAUUUUGAUGAUUUCUUCCACCUUUCUAUUGCCGGUUGAUGCAGAUGCAUAUUGGAGUCCCAGAAAGCUGCAGGAAAAGCCACCGUUGCCAGGCCCUGCGGCUCCUCCUCCAGGUGCUCCGCCGCCUCAAAUGUUAGAGCAGCCCACCUCCUUUAUGGCCCCCGGUUAAACGUUAUUUUUUGUUGACAGUAAUUCUGGAUGAUUAUGAUAUUCAAUCUUGUUUUAUCUAAUUUUUUAUUUCAAAUUUUAAUUAUAUUUAUAUAUUGGUAUGUUAUAUCA